AUUAAUUUUCCAUGCAUCUGUAGAUGAUAACAACUGGAGGUGGAGGUUCUUUUGGGGUCUGGAGCAAAAGAAAGAGGACAAGAAAUUGAUCCAUGAAUUCCUAAAGGUCACAGCAUAACAGACUGGUAAUUCAAAACUAUAUCUCAAGAAGACUAAAGGCAAAAGCCUAAGCAACAAUGUGUGAGAAGCUCCUUGUGAAAUUCUCUGUGGGGAUGGGAGAAGGAAAGAUUCAGGGCAAGCUAAUACGAAGCUGAAUUGACAGUCUUCCUUCUACUGCCACCCAUACCUCACUCCACCUUGAGCAUCCUGCAGGUACUGAGCUACAGACUGAAGGCAUAAUGAGAGCUUGCUGUUUGCCUCUAGCCACCCACAGAUUAGAGAGUUAAUCAACUAAUAUUAGUUGGUGUCAGAAGUAAGAUUGGAUACAAAAACUUGGAUUCUCCAAGACCAGAGGUAAUGGAUCAUCAGAGAUUUAUUUCUUUUUUUCUUUUUUAUUUUUUUUUUGUAACAAUCACUUGUUUUAUAUGAUUUGAUACUGCAUUCACAAGAUUCUGACUUAUAGUUUUUCAUUCUUUAUCAUGAAAUUACAUAUUUAUCAUGAACACUUGAUAAACAGUC